UACGUAGGGUGCGAGCGUUGUCCGGAAUUACUGGGCGUAAAGGGCUCGUAGGCGGCCAGGUAGGUCGGUUGUGAAAACUGGAGGCUCAACCUUCAGAGGUCGACCGAAACCAUCUGGCUAGAGUCCGGGAGAGGAGAGUGGAAUUCCUGGUGUAGCGGUGAAAUGCGCAGAUAUCAGGAAGAACACCCGUGGCGAAAGCGGCUCUCUGGAACGGUACUGACGCUGAGACGCGAAAGCGUGGGGAGCGAACAGG
rnacentral:rRNA from 1 species